GCGCAGCUCUGCGCAGAGGAAUGAAGCACAGCGCCUGCUGAUCGAUAUGAGACUGUGGAGUCGGCGACCGCGGGCAGACGCCAAUGAAGACAUCAAUAAAGGGCCCUGCCCCUUCGCUCCGGCUAUGUUUGGCAAGGCUCCACUGCAGAAGCCCUGGGGUGGGGGCCCCUGGCAGGAUUGGGAGGCCCGACCUGGAGAAUGCCGUCUCUGAGGGCCGGGGUCAGUCCCAGCUCAGCAAACUUGUCCCAGGGAACAAGGAACCGGCAGGUGGAGGGGGAACUUUUACACCUGGUCAUGAGAGAGUAUAACAAGUACUGCACAUUCGACGGGUACUGCUCAUCUGGCGGGUACUGCUCAAAGCCCAAGUGGCAGCCUAGGAACCGUGAAUCACAACUGGCAGCUUGUGGCUGCCGGAUGCCGGACUGACAGCAGGACACCAUCUUUGUGGCAUGAAAAUGGGGAGAAGAGGCGGCGGUCAC